rnacentral:rRNA from 1 species
UCAGGAUGAACGCUGGCGGCGUGCCUAACACAUGCAAGUCGAGCGAUUACUUCGGUAAAGAGCGGCGACGGGUGAGUAACGCGUGGGUAACCUGACCUCAUACACAUGGAUAACAUACCGAAAGGUAUGCUAAUACAGGAUAAUAUAAGAGAUUCACAUGGAUUUCUUAGUCAAAGCUCCGGCAGUAUGAGAUGGACCCGCGUCUGAUUAGCUAGUUGGUAAGGUAAUGGCUUACCAAGGCGACGAUCAGUAGCCGACCUGAGAGGGUGAUCGGCCACAUUGGAACUGAGACACGGUCCAAACUCCUACGGGAGGCAGCAGUGGGGAAUAUUGCACAAUGGGCGAAAGCCUGAUGCAGCAACGCCGCGUGAGUGAUGAAGGCCUUCGGGUCGUAAAACUCUGUCCUCAAGGAAGAUAAUGACGGUACUUGAGGAGGAAGCCCCGGCUAACUACGUGCCAGCCGCCGC